rnacentral:rRNA from 1 species
AGUUGAUUCUGGCUCAGGACGAACGCUGGCGGCGUGCCUAACACAUGCAAGUCGAACGGAGAUAUGAUUUCGGUUGUAUCUUAGUGGCGAACGGGUGAGUAACGCGUGAGCAACCUGACCUUCAGAGGGGGAUAACACUCGGAAACGAGUGCUAAUACCGCAUAAGACCACGACCCGACAUCGGGAUGAGGUCAAAGGAGCAAUCCGCUGAGGGAGGGGCUCGCGUCCCAUUAGAUAGAUGGCGGGGUAACGGCCCACCAUGUCGACGAUGGGUAGCCGAGCUGAGAGGCUGAUCGGCCACACUGGAACUGAGACACGGUCCAGACUCCUACGGGAGGCAGCAGUGGGGAAUAUUGGGCAAUGGGCGCAAACGCCUGACCCAGCAACGCCGCGUGAGGGAAGAAGGCUUUCGGGUUGUAGACCUCUGUCCUUGGUGACGAAAAAAUGACGGUAGCCAAGGAGGAAGCCCCGGCUAACUACGUGCCAGCCGCGGC